rnacentral:rRNA from 1 species
UGGGGAAUAUUGCACACUGGAGGGAACUCUGAUGCAGCGACGCCGCGUGAACGAAGAAGGCUUUCGAGUCGUAAAGUUCUUUUAUAUGGGAAGAUAAUGACGGUAUCAUAAGAAAAAGCCCCGGCUAACUACGUGCCAGCAGCCGCGGUAAUACGUAGGGGGCUAGCGUUGUCCGGAAUCACUGGGCGUAAAGGGUUCGCAGGCGCAAAUGCAAGUCAGGUGUAAAAGGCAGUAGCUUAACUACUGUAAGCAUUUGAAACUGCAUAUCUUGAGAAGAGUAGAGGUAAGUGGAAUUUUUAGUGUAGCGGUGAAAUGCGUAGAUAUUAAAAAGAAUACCGGUGGCGAAGGCGACUUACUGGGCUCAUUCUGACGCUGAGGAACGAAAGCGUGGGUAGCAAACAGG